rnacentral:rRNA from 1 species
AACGAACGCUGGCGGCAUGCCUAACACAUGCAAGUCGAACGAGACCUUCGGGUCUAGUGGCGCACGGGUGCGUAACGCGUGGGAACCUGCCCUUAGGUUCGGAAUAACUCCCCGAAAGGGGUGCUAAUACCGGAUAAUGUCUUCGGACCAAAGAUUUAUCGCCUUUGGAUGGGCCCGCGUUGGAUUAGCUAGUUGGUAGGGUAAAAGCCUACCAAGGCGACGAUCCAUAGCUGGUCUGAGAGGAUGAUCAGCCACACUGGGACUGAGACGCGGCCCAGACUCGUACGGGAGGCAGCAGUGGGGAAUAUUGGACAAUGGGCGAAAGCCUGAUCCAGCAAUGCCGCGUGAGUGAUGAAGGCCUUAGGGUUGUAAAGCUCUUUUACCCGGGAUGAUAAUGACAGUACCGGGAGAAUAAGCUCCGGCUAACUCCGUG